AGUAACGCGUGGAUAACCUGCCUCACACUGGGGGAUAACAGUUAGAAAUGACUGCUAAUACCGCAUAAGCGCACAGUGCCGCAUGGCAGUGUGUGAAAAACUCCGGUGGUGUGAGAUGGAUCCGCGUCUGAUUAGCCAGUUGGCGGGGUAACGGCCACCAAAGCGACGAUCAGUAGCCGACCUGAGAGGGUGACCGGCCACAUUGGGACUGAGACACGGCCCAAACUCCUACGGGAGGCAGCAUG
rnacentral:rRNA from 1 species